UAUUUUUGAAGUUUCUUUAUUUCUUUUUUCUCUCUCUGCUCCCUCUGGUAUCCUCUCUCUCCCUAUUCCCUCUCAUGUAGCAGCGCCGCCGUCCCCCGGUCACCAAUGACCGUAAAAUUAUGCCUCCAAAAUUCUCUUCCCUUCCUCUUUCCAACCCCCAAGUUAGUUUCUACAAAUUCGAAGCCAAAUUUCCUCAAAAUUAGAUCUAAGAAACGGCGACCGCGGGUUAUCCGGCCAAUUUCCGGCGAAGUCUGCCGAAAUCGGACCUCAACCAAAGAGGUAAUAAUGAUCCUCUCUUCAUGGGCUGUUCUCUAGUAUUGGGGACGAAGAAGGUGAAUCAAGGAAUUGUGAUCCUGGGAGUAUGGUGGUUGUGUAAUAUAAGUCUGAUGUUGGGCUUUGUUGAUGCUUUUAGAGGAAUUUGUGGAGCAUGAUGCUGUGCAUAAAGCACUUCUUGCCCUUUUGAGGCAAGAUGUUAAAGCAUUAUUCAAGCACAUUGGGAGUGUUGAGGAACCAAGCACAUAUGAGAUCAUUCAGGAGAAGGUUUAAAGCUUCAUUAGAGAUAAGGCCGAGAGGACUCAGGCAAGACUUAAGCAGAUCACUAAUAGUGUGGAGCAAAGAUUUUACAAGGAUUUGCAAAGCGAGCACUUUGGAUAAGUUAAAGUCGUGCAAAUGACUGUGUGAUGGGUUGGAAAGGUGAAGUUGUUGGGAUACUUCCGAUUAGCCAAAAAUCAUGAAGGUUGUUUCGGUAUAAAAGUUGGAAUCCGGAUGGAGAGUUUCUCUAGGAAUCCAAAUACCAAGUCCCUCCUAGGAAUCCAAAUCUGAGAAUUUCUGGAGUGUGAUUCCGGAUUUUAUAUGGGUAUGUUUUUUAUCCUAAAAUUUUAGUAAACAACGGAAUGACUUGGAAACAGUGCAAUUCCGAUUCUUUCAUUUCAAAUUCGGUUUGGUAAACACGCCUAGAGGCUUAUUAUAGUCGAGGAUUUAAAAAUUGCCAACGGUCCCGAUAUUUCGGUUGAUAUAUCGGUAAAAUCAGGGUUCCGAUAAUUGAUAGGGGUUAAGACAUCUUUCUUGAACUUCUCCGAAUGUCAUUGGAAUAUAUUUGUGUUUUCAGCGAUAUCGGUAAAAUAUUUGUGUUUUCUUUUAAUGUCUCCCAAAAUCAGGAAAUUUGUGGAAAUUUCUGUUGAAGUUUCAGUGGUAUUUUGGUGUAUUGUCGUGAACUCAAGUGGAAUUUCGGUUGGCCUUUCCUUCUAUGGAGGCAUGGUCCAAUCUUUUGAGAGAGAGAGAGAGAGAGAGAGA